rnacentral:rRNA from 1 species
UACAGAGGUCUCAACCGUUGUUCGGAUUCAUUGGGCGUAAAGGGUGCGUAGGCGGCGUGGUAAGUCAGGUGUGAAAUCUCGGGGCUCAACCCCGAAACUGCACUUGAUACUGCCUCGCUUGAGUACUGGAGAGGAGACUGGAAUUUACGGUGUAGCAGUGAAAUGCGUAGAUAUCGUAAGGAAGACCAGUGGCGAAGGCGAGUCUCUGGACAGUUACUGACGCUGAGGCACGAAGGCCAGGGGAGCAAACGGG